rnacentral:lncRNA from 1 species
ACUUUCUGGCCAGGCAACAAGAGGUUCUGAAUCUUGGGAGUCUGACAGGAUUCCUGCAGCCUGUCUCAUAUCUCUGCUUGUUGUCGUGGUCAAGGAAAAUACUGAAGGUGAAUACACAAAGAUGCUGGAAGAUCGUUAUUUAUAUAAAUGUUAUCUGAAAUCGCUUCUUCUUCUUCUCUUGUUACAGUACUGAUGACACAGUGGAGAUCUGGACACGUGUGUUUACUGCUCUUUCAUGUCUCCUGUGUCAGAAAUCAGAUUGCCCAUUGCCAUCCUUUCAUCCUUUCACUGGCAGCACAGAACUCCAGUGUUGGAGGGGCAGCAGGUUUCUGUGGUGUAAAACCCUGCUGGACGACUGCAGGGCCACUUGGGCUGUACCUUCCAAAAUGAUUUAAACUGGCAUAAGAUCAUUCUGUUGUCAGCCACACGUUGACAUGUGUCUGUCUCCUCCAUUUAUUGGCUUCUAUCAGUUACGUUGCUGUAACCAGCAAUAUCAGCAAACUGCUUCUGCAGAAAGUUAGCUCUUCUUUGUAGGUUUAACUUUCUGCCAAAUGAACCAGGCUUUAUCAAGAGGAUAUAAAAGGAAUCUGUCUUAUUAUUAUCUGGGGAUGUUUUAUUGCUGUUAUGUUUUCACUCAGAAUUUUGAAGUACUGGAAAAGCACUGAAUGUAUCUUUCUGUUUUGUUACCAGCAAGGAAUUUCUGUUACAUCCCAUUUUAAGAUGGAAGCAGGGGAACAGUUUGUUUCUGCAGAAAAUCAUUCUUCGGAUUUGAGGCUGGGGAGCCUUCUGAGAGUGCUUGGGAUGAGAAUCAGAGAUCUGCCCCCUUCCUCAGGGCAGUGCUUAGAGAUGCAGGCACAUGGAGGCAGCACAGCACCAUCUUUACCAGAAUGUGGGGAGUGAGAGGAAUUGUUGGCUAUUUCUAUUGUCCAAUUUUUCUUCACAUGAGAAAAAAAGAGCAUAGAGAAUAUCCUACAGGGUGAAAAAAAAGACUCUCCGGGUUAACUGAGAAAAUAUGGAAACAAAUGCAGACACCUGGUUGUCUUACAGUGGUCUGCAUUUUAUUUUGGGCUGAACUGAGUUGCAUGAUAUUAACAGAUACUGAGUCAGUGCCAGCGGAGGAAGAACAAAUGUCACUGGAAUACUGUGGAAUGUCAGGUUAAAAAACAAACCAUUGUCCCAUAGUUCCUCUAAAGAGAAAAAGAGGUGGCUGCUUACCACUGAAUCACCUGAAUGCUCAUCUGUGGCGUACUUAGAGCUCAGUUCUAACCUGGCAAAUGUGUCCUCAUUUGCAACAGCGUUUGCAGAGCGUUACGCGUUGUGGAGUGGUGACAUUCCCCCAUUCCUGUCUCUUUUUAAUCCCAGUCAGAAAUCCAGAAUGAUCAAAACGACUUGAACAGAACUCAGAGGAAUUCAUUCCAACCCACACUGAGAUGCUGCCAUGCUUCCUUUCUGAAAAGACUGGGACUUAUAAGAAUUUGUACAACUCAUCCAGACAGAGAUGUAGCAAUGACUUGGAAGGCAUUGAGGAGCUGAUUCAUAAAGCACUGAAAAGAAAUCUUUGCUAACCAACAAAGUUUUUUUAGAAGCACAUGCAGGAAAACUCUGCCAAAUGGUCACAGUCUGAUGCUGAAUUCAGUGCUGAUGGUGAAAGACGGUUUAUAGAUAGGGCAUUCAUUAAGAGUUGUAUAAUGAAAAUAAUUUAAGAAGUAUGUG